ensembl:misc_RNA Y_RNA Y RNA
GGGUGGCCUGAAUGCAGUGGUGUUUACAACUAAUUAAUCACAACCAGUUACAGAUUUCUUUGCUCCUUCUCCAUUCCCACUACUUCACUUGACUAGCCUUAA